CACGCCCACAGAACCAACAGAAAGGUUUGGCCGGCCAAGUCUUCUAGGGUUCAACCUAGCUGCUUCUCGCUUCCUUCUCAUGUUUACUCUGUGCGUAUGAACCUGAGAAGGAGAAGGGAAGCAGCCAUGUUGAAUGCUGUGGCAGAGAGAAGCCAAACUUUUCUCCCUCCCUUCACAGCAGAGCUGCUCAGAAGGCAGCCGCCGGCCGCAGUUUGUCCGUUUAUGGUCUCCCCUUCCUCCUGGGAUCAUACCUUAAAGACUGCGGCCAGCAGGUCCUUCUGAACAGCUCCGCUGCGACACCGUUCCUCCGGCUGCUGCUGUUCUCCUGGCCAGGUCUGGUCAUGAGUGGCACCGGCAGGCACUGGGGUGCGUGUGUGCAGCCAGAACAGGGCAGCGGCUGCACACGUGCACCCCAUUGUUUGCUGGUGCCGCUUGCGGCCAGACCCAGCCAGGAGAACGGCAGCAGCUGGAGAGACGGUGUCGCAGUGGAGCUGCUAAGAAGGCAGCCGAAAUCGAGCGCUGGCGGCAAGAGGAUUCUUGGCACGAAGGGCGGCCGAGCCUCGCCGUGUCACCCCACCACCAAGGUGUGAAGAUAGGGCCAUUUUCCCUUGUACCUCCCCUUUAGGCUCAGUCUGAGAGACAAGACUACCCUCAACUGGCUUGCCCUUCUGGCACAUAGAAGAGGAGAAAUGAAAGAAGUACAUUCUACGUACAGUGCUGCUUCUUAGCCUGUAACAUUGAUGCUCAGUUGGAUCACAAGACUGCAGCUGUAUUUGGCUUGUUCUUUGUGGCUGAGCCCCAUUAAGAAAGAAGGAGAUGGACAGAAAAUUCCAAAAGUAACCUUAUAAAUCAGGGGUCCUCAAACUACAGCCCACAGGCAGGAUAUGGCCUGCCAAAGCCAUUAAUCCGGCCCACGCAGGACCAUGAGGCUGCCCUGCCCACAUUGCCCUGCCCACCCGCUGGCCCCCACCCUUCGGCCGAGCACAGGACUUACCUUCAGGACCUUUGUAGGCUGGAACUAGAAGGUAAGGCCAAUGUUUUUGGCCAGCAGAAUGCUUCUGGAGGUGGGGAAGGCCAAAAAUGGGGCACGUGGAUGCCUCAGGAAGCUGGCAGAGUGCUUCUGGAGGCGGGGGAGGCACAUGGAGGCCUCCUGGGGCUUCUGCGCGUCCUGCAGAGUGCAGCAGGAGGACUGGAUUGGAGGAGGAGGGCUGCCCGCUCACCCACCCGCUGGCCAGACUAGUCUUCAAGUUUCAAAUGAAAGAGAUGUGUUACAUCUCUGAUGGAACUCUGAUCUAUCAUCUUUAAACUCCCAUAUCUCCCACCGCCGGAACAAUCCUUAUCUGAAGUGAGCUGAAGCGCCGAAACAUCCAAAGUGAGUGAUGCAAAAAAAAUCGUUGAGGCAAAAAAUCCCUCUGAUCUAUCCAAAGUAUCAUUUUUAAAACUACUAACAAAAUUGCUGUGAAAAAAAUCUUUUAAACUCCAACCAGAAUUGUUGUAUUAAAAACCCCUUAGAUCGCCUUUAAACUCCCACUGGAUUGGAUUUCAAUCCUCCACCAUUUUAAACCUAUACCUGAUUGGAAUCCUCCCACUGGAGGACCCUUCAACAUAACACAAAGGACAGCAUCAAAGACACUCAAACAAAACACAAAGGACAGCAGAAACUACGUAUGGAAGUACAGCAGAAGCUACAUGAGGAAGUAAAAGUCAGCUACUACAAAACCCUACCCUUUCAUCCUACUUUACUACUUUACUUCAUUAGUCAUUGACUAAAUGAUAGAAUUUUUAAUAUUAUUGAUUUAUUAAUUACUUGAUUAGCAAUGCUUAAUUGAUUGUCUAGCUGAUUGCCUAAUUAAUUAAUAGUUAAUAAAUAAUACUUUGAUUGAUUAGAGUUUAAUUAAUUGAUUAGAGUUUAAUUAAUUUAAUUGGUUAGAGUGACAUUGCUUGCUGAUCUAUUGUUAAAUGAUUAAUUAAUUACUGUGAAUAUUACAGCAUACAUUGAUCAGUUAGUGUUAUUGAUCAGUGUGGCAUUGAUUAGCAAUUUACUGUUUUAAUUUUUAACUGAUUAGCAUAUUUACUGUUUAACUGAUUGGUUGCAUGAUUAAUCAUCAAGCAAAUAAGAGAUCCAUCAAUUCAACAUUGGAUACCAGCAAAAUAAUAAUAAUAAUUAAUUCAACAUUGAAUACCAGCAAAUAAGAGGUACGCAACUACGCACCUACAACACAAAUCUACAAUGCCAAGAAAAAAUGCCACUGUCAAACAACCAAGCAAACAACCAAUCAAAAAGAUAGAUAUCUCUACCAAUGGCACAAUCAAAAAGAAAGACGUAUUUACCAAUGACACAAAUGACCUCUCUAAAUGCUUUCUAUGUACAGAUUUGUGCAAGGAGAUUGAGAAUACCAUGAAAUGCUACCUAUGUAAAACGUACGCCCACCACACAUGCUUGGGAUUAACAGAAAACAUAGUCCAAUUUCUAGAAACAUCCCCAAAUUCACUUACCAAGCUCUGUCCUCUAACCCAAAUUAGACAAAUUUAUUGUCAUGUUUGAUAGGUUCGACACCAUGGAAACACAGCUAUCAUCCCUUAACAACACAGAAACAACUUUACUGUCAUCCCUUAAAAACAUAGAAACACGUUUAACAUCUCUUGAAAACAAAUAUUCAACACAGAAAAGUGAACAUCCAGCAACUCAAAAUUCUAUGCCAAUUCAACAACCUCAACCACAACCAACUACCUACCCAACAAAUGACAUCUCCUUACUCAUCAAAGAUGCCAUUGAACAAGAACAAGAACGUCCCAAUGCUAUUUUAUUUGAUCUUGAGGACAACAAUGAAACUGAUGAUAUUACAAAGGUACGUAACAUCAUCAGUAACUAUCAGACACCAACCAUCUCCCCUGAGGAAAUCAUCAGUGUUUCCCUCGAUGAACCUGACUUCAAGUACGGCGACGGCUCAGUUGCUCCACGCUUCUGCAGAGUUGUUUGCAAGAAUGAGACCAGCAAAUGAAAAUUCAUAUAUACUAUCAACUCAAUUGCCAGAAGCAACACCAACUACAGUAUAACAAACUUCACUCAAGGCCUGACCUAUCCACACUACAACACAUCUACUCCUGUGAACGACGUGCUGAACUCAAAAGACACCAAGACCAGGGAGAAACUGACUACUACACUGACUGUAUUAAAAGUAAGAACGGCCCACAUCUCAACAACAACCACCCCACCACCCCAACAAGCAAUACUAGGCAUGCACACCCCUAACAUCCUCAAAAUCCACUACCACAGGCCUUAAAUGCAAGCUACUUAACACAAGAAGCCUCAUAAACAAAAUACCAGAAUUCCUCCUCUUAUUAAAUACAGCUAAAUACAGCCAACGUUGAUUGGAGCAUGUGACCGACUGGGGGAAAAAGGGGAUGGUUUUGGGAGCUUUGACUUACUGAAGGAAAACCUGGGCUUUUCAGAUUUGGGUUUUCCCAGAUGUGCCAGUUUGCCUAUUCUAGUAAAGAGAACUUUGGGAAAAGAUAAAAAUAAAAUAAAUACAGCUAUAUUUGAUAUUAUAUUUGUCUGUGAGACAUGGCUAAAUUCCUCCCUCCCAGACCCCAUUACCACGGUAAGAGACCAUCAUGUUUACCAGUCCGACUGUGAACUCCGUAGAGGAGGUGGUGUUGCUAUCUUCUAUAAAAAAUCCCUAAAUCUAAAAAAUAUUCAAGUUACACAGGAACUUGCUCUUCCUGAGACCAUCGUAUGCAAGCUCUCCCUAAACACAUUUCGCUUCUUACUUUGUUACUGAGCCCCUGAUUACAACCUUAUACAUGCUAACAAACUGACUUCACUACUAACAUGGGCAGCCUCUUCCCACACCCUCUUAUCUUUCUUGGUGACCUCAAUCUAUCUCUUAUUAAUUGGAUCCUUAAUGAAUGUACAACAGAACCAAUAUAUACAACCUUGUACAAUGCCAUUACUAAUCUGGGAUUGGAUCAACUGGUAACAAACAACACUAGAUUCAAGAACUGCCUUGAUUUCAUCUUCUGCCAUAAUUUAAACUCAAUCUAUGGUCUACAAAUAAAUGAACCCUUUUCAAA